GAUGAACGCUAGCGGCAGGCUUAACACAUGCAAGUCGCGGGGUUUAGUUCUUCGGAACUAGAGACCGGCGCACGGGUGCGUAACGCGUAUGCACUCUACCUUUUACAGGGGGAUAGCCCAGAGAAAUUUGGAUUAAUACCCCAUAGUAUGUUAGAGUGGCAUCAUUUUAACAUUAAUGUUCCAACGGUAAAAGAUGAGCAUGCAUCCCAUUAUCUAAAUGGUAAGGUAACGGCUUACCAUGGCGACGAUGGGUAGGGGUCCUGAGAGGGAGAUCCCCCACACUGGUACAGAGACACGGACCAGAAUCCUACGGGAGGCAGCAGUGAGGAAUAUUGGACAAUGGGCGCAAGCCUUAUCCAGCCAUGCCGCGUGCAGGAAGACGGUCCUAUGGAUUGUAAACUGCUUUUGUACAGGAAGAAACACUCCCUCGUGAGGGAGCUUGACGGUACUGUAAGAAUAAGGAUCGGCUAACUCCGUGCCAGCAGCCGCCGUAAUAC
rnacentral:rRNA from 1 species